UUCCUCAUUACAGGUGUCAAUUAACGAAGGCGCUAAUGAGCCUUUGCCUCCUUCGUCCUGCCGGGAAGGUGAAGGGAGGUGGGGUCCGAGGACGAAGCUUUCCUCCGCAGUCCGAACCCUUCGGCCGCCCUCUUUGAUUUUCAUCGUGCUGCUGAGGAGGCCUCUUUUACCUGCUAAUUUUCAUUAAACUCCCUGGGAGGAGUGUACCAUUCGUCGUUGUAGCAGUAAAUUUUAUUAAGGAGAGCACUGUACUACAGAUAAUCAUCCCGGGAUAGUCAUGGCCUGUCUCCUGGAAUGAAAGGCCUUAUUCCUAUACUUUUAUUAAAGAGCGUACACUGAUUUUUUUUUUUUUUUUUGGCCAGAUUCUUUUAUUUCCGACCCUUGUAAGAUAGUAUUUGAGCCUAAAGAAACAAGCUGUAUUGCAAGUUCACUAUUUCUGGGCCCAAAGGCCUAGUUGGUUGAGGUGCAUUAGAUCAAAGAUUACAAAAACUUGAUUGUUGAGAAAAUGCUCAUUUACGAACUGCUUAUGUGGGUUUUGGAUUUAUGUUCUGAUAUUUCCCAAAACUUCCAGACUACCUCUUUUCUAAUACGAUUCUUUAAGACAGGGGGUUUAUAAAAUGUAUCAUCUUGUUUGUGUUUGAAUUUUACUUGAUUAUGUGCUUGAAUUUCACUUCAAUAACCCAAGGCAAUAAUAAAAGUGGAAUGGUUCUAGUUUA